GCAAACUUGGUCAUUUAGAGGAAGUAAAAGUCGUAACAAGGUUUCCGUAGGUGAACCUGCGGAAGGAUCAUUACAAAUAAGAAUCGCAUCACAAUGUGGUAUUCUUUCGACACCCUCCGAGUACUUGUAUUUCGUUGCUUUCGUGGGCAAGUGGGCGAUCACGCGCGCGUGCUCUUCCUCGAGUCCACGGGAGGUGAACCUCAAUCACGUCUUCAUGUGCCCUCCGUCUGAUUAUGUUAGUACAAGAAUGAUCGUUAAAACUUUCAACAACGGAUCUCUUGGUUCUCGCAUCGAUGAAGAACGCAGC
rnacentral:misc_RNA from 1 species